rnacentral:rRNA from 1 species
ACGGAAGGCAGCAGUGGGGAAUAUUGCACAAUGGGGGAAACCCUGAUGCAGCGACGCCGCGUGAGCGAAGAAGUAUUUCGGUAUGUAAAGCUCUAUCAGCAGGGAAGAAAAUGACGGUACCUGACUAAGAAGCCCCGGCUAACUACGUGCCAGCAGCCGCGGUAAUACGUAGGGGGCAAGCGUUAUCCGGAUUUACUGGGUGUAAGGGAGCGCAGACGGCAAGGCAAGUCUGAAGUGAAAUUCCAUGGCUCAACCGUGGAACUGCUUUGGAAACUGUUUAGCUAGAGUAUCGGAGGGGUAAGCGGAAUUCCUAGUGUAGCGGUGAAAUGCGUAGAUAUUAGGAGGAACACCGGUGGCGAAGGCGGCUUACUGGACGAUAACUGACGUUGAGGCUCGAAAGCGUGGGGAGCAAACAGGAUUAGAUACCCUGGUA